rnacentral:rRNA from 1 species
AUACGGGGGGAGCAAGCGUUGUCCGGAAUCACUGGGCGUAAAGGGCGUGUAGGCGGGUUGGUCAGUCAGAUGUGAAAGCCUGCGGCUUAACCGUAGAAAUGCAUUUGAAACUGCCGGCCUUGAGUGCGAGAGAGGGUAGUGGAAUUCCUAGUGUAGCGGUGAAAUGCGUAGAUAUUGGGAAGAACACCAGUAGCGAAGGCGGCUACCUGGCUCGCAUCUGACGCUAAUGCGCGAAAGCGUGGGGAGCGAACAGGAUUAGAAACCCUAGUAGUCC